GAUGAAGAACUCAGCGAAAUGCGAUAAGUAAUGUGAAUUGCAGAAUUCAGUGAAUCAUCGAAUCUUUGAACGCACAUUGCGCCCCCCAGUAUUCUGGCGGGCAUGCCUGUUCGAGCGUCAUUUCAACCAUCAAGCCCUGCUUGUGUUGGGGUCCUGCGGCUGCCCGCAGGCCCUGAAAACCAGUGGCGGGCUCGCUAGUCACACCGAGCGCAGUAGCACAUCUCGCUCAGGGCGUGCGGCGGGCUCCAGCCGUUAAAGCACCCACCUUUCGCAAGGUUGACCUCGGAUCAGGUAGGAAUACCCGCUGAACUUAAGCAUAUCAAUAAGCGGAGGA
rnacentral:misc_RNA from 1 species